rnacentral:rRNA from 1 species
CCUACGGGAGGCAGCAGUGGGGAAUAUUGCACAAUGGGCGAAAGCCUGAUGCAGCAACGCCGCGUGAGGGACGACGGCCUUCGGGUUGUAAACCUCUUUUGGCAGGGAAGAAGCGAAAGUGACGGUACCUGCAGAAAAAGCACCGGCUAACUACGUGCCAGCAGCCGCGGUAAUACGUAGGGUGCAAGCGUUGUCCGGAAUUAUUGGGCGUAAAGAGCUCGUAGGCGGUUUGUCGCGUCUGCUGUGAAAACGCAAGGCUCAACCUUGCGCCUGCAGUGGGUACGGGCAGACUAGAGUGUGGUAGGGGAGAUUGGAAUUCCUGGUGUAGCGGUGGAAUGCGCAGAUAUCAGGAGGAACACCGAUGGCGAAGGCAGAUCUCUGGGCCAUUACUGACGCUGAGGAGCGAAAGCGUGGGGAGCGAACAGGAUUAGAUACCCUGGUAGUCCACGCCGUAAACGUUGGGAACUAGAUGUGGGGUCCAUUCCACGGAUUCCGUGUCGCAGCUAACGCAUUAAGUUCCCCGCCUGGGGAUACGGCCGCAGGCUAAAACUUAAGGAAUUGACGG